UACACGACCGUACCGCAAACCGACACUGGUGCGCGAGAUGAGUAUUCUAAGGCGCUUGAGAGAACUCAGGAGAAGGAACUCGGCAAAUUGACACCGUAACUUCGGAAGAAGGUGUGCCUUUAGUAGGUGAAGUCCCUCGCGGAUGGAGCCCAAUGAGGUUGCAAAGAAUCGGUGGCUGCGACUGUUUAUUAAAAACACAGCACUCUGCAAACACGAAAGUGGACGUAUAGGGUGUGACGCCUGCCCGGUGCUGGAAGAUUAAAUGAUGGGGUGCAAGCUCUUGAUUGAAGUCCCAGUAAACGGCGGCCGUAACGAUAACGGUCCUAAGGUAGCGAAAUUCCUUGUCGGGUAAGUUCCGACCUGCACGAAUGGCGUAACGAUGGCCACACUGUCUCCUCCUGAGACUCAGCGAAGUUGAAAUGUUUGUGAUGAUGCAAUCUCCCCGCGGAAAGACGGAAAGACCCCAUGAACCUUUACUGUAGCUUUGUAUUGGACUUUGAACAGAUCUGUGUAGGAUAGGUGGGAGGCUUUGAAGCAGGGUCGCUAGAUCUUGUGGAGCCAACGUUGAAAUACCACCCUGGUGUGUUUGAGGUUCUAACCUAGGCCCGUAAUCCGGGUUGGGGACAGUGCAUGGUAGGCAGUUUGACUGGGGCGGUCUCCUCCCAAAGUGUAACGGAGGAGUUCGAAGGUACGCUAGUUACGGUCGGACAUCGUGACGAUAGUGCAAUGGCAUAAGCGUGCUUAACUGCGAGACUGACAAGUCGAGCAGAUGCGAAAGCAGGACAUAGUGAUCCGGUGGUUCUGUAUGGAAGGGCCAUCGCUCAACGGAUAAAAGGUACUCUGGGGAUAACAGGCUGAUACCGCCCAAGAGUUCAUAUCGACGGCGGUGUUUGGCACCUCGAUGUCGGCUCAUCUCAUCCUGGGGCUGUAGCCGGUCCCAAGGGUAUGGCUGUUCGCCAUUUAAAGAGGUACGUGAGCUGGGUUUAAAACGUCGUGAGACAGUUUGGUCCCUAUCUUCCGUGGGCGCUGCAGAUUUGAGGAAGCCUGCUCCUAGUACGAGAGGACCGGAGUGGACGCACCUCUGGUGUAUCGGUUGUCACGCCAGUGGCAUUGCCGAGUAGCUAUGUGCGGAAGAGAUAACCGCUGAGAGCAUCUAAGCGGGAAACUCGUUUCAAGAUGAGAUCUGCCGGGGCCUUGAGCCCCCUGAAGAGUCGUUCAAGACCAGGACGUUGAUAGGUCGGGUGUGGAAGCGCAGUAAUGCGUUAAGCUAACCGAUACUAAUUGCUCGUGCGGCUUGGCCCC
rnacentral:rRNA from 1 species